rnacentral:lncRNA from 1 species
CUUCAGGGCCUACUUCGAUUCGUCCAACUCGGGUUAGUAGAGUCUAUCGAGUUUAAUCGACUGACAACCGAACCCAUCGAAAUUGACCUUUUGAACCUAUCCGAGUUAACUCGACAUCAACCCUGGGUCGGGGCAGGUUUAGUCGAGUUUCAAGAUGGCGUCAAGUAGUUGCAACAAAUAAAAGUGAUACAAAUAAACUGGUAUUUGACAAAAUACAGCCGAAGAAUAAAGCUGACAAGGGGAAUUUAUUAUUGCCUGUAUUUUGGAAUCAGCCAAUAUUGUUCAUGUGUAUAUUUGGUCCUCAAAUCUCUUCAACUUCGUACUUUAUUUGACCUUUUAUAACAUUUUUGAUUCGUGCGUCACUGAUGAGUCUUUU